AGUGAACGCUGGCGGUAGGCCUAACACAUGCAAGUCGAACGGCAGACAGAGGAGCUUGCUCCUUGGGUGGCGAGUGGCGGACGGGUGAGGAAUACAUCGGAAUCUACUCUGUCGUGGGGGAUAACGUAGGGAAACUUACGCUAAUACCGCAUACGACCUACGGGUGAAAGCAGGGGAUCUUCGGACCUUGCGCGAUUGGAUGAGCCGAUGUCGGAUUAGCUAGUUGGCGGGGUAAAGGCCCACAAAGGCGACGAUCCGUAGCUGGUCUGAGAGGAUGAUCAGCCACACUGGAACUGAGACACGGUCCAGACUCCCACGGGAGGCAGCAGUGGGGAAUAUUGGACAAUGGGCGCAAGCCUGAUCCAGCCAUACCGCGUGGGUGAAGAAGGCCUUCGGGUUGUAAAGCCCUUUUGUUGGGAAAGAAAUCCAGCUGGUUAAUACCCGGUUGGGAUGACGGUACCCAAAGAAUAAGCACCGGCCAACUUCGUGCCAGCCGCCGCCGUAA
rnacentral:rRNA from 1 species